AACGGCCGUACCAUGCUGAAUAUACCGGUUCUCGUUAGAUCACCGAAGUCAAGCAUCAUUGGGCGCGGUCAAUGGGUUCCACCUGGGAACACUGCGUGCCGU